rnacentral:rRNA from 1 species
AGUGAACGCUGGCGGCGUGCUUAACACAUGCAAGUCGAACGAGAACGGAUUAUAGCUUGCUAUAAUUGUCAGCUAAGUGGCGCACGGGUGAGUAAUGUAUAGGUAAUAUGCCUCUUACUAAGGGAUAACAAAUGGAAACGUUUGCUAAUACCUUAUACUCCUUAUUAACAGAAGUUAAUAAGGGAAAGAUUUAUUGGUAAGAGAUUAGCCUGUAUUGUAUCAGUUAGUUGGUGGGGUAAUGGCUUACCAAGACUAUGACACAUAACUGGUUUGAGAGGAUGAUCAGUCACACUGGAACUGAGACACGGUCCAGACUCCUACGGGAGGCAGCAGUGGGGAAUAUUGCACAAUGGACGAAAGUCUGAUGCAGCAACGCCGCGUGGAGGAUGACACAUUUCGGUGCGUAAACUCCUUUUAUAUAGGAAGAUAAUGACGGUACUAUAUGAAUAAGCACCGGCUAACUCCGUG